ensembl:lncRNA
CAUUCUCAACAGAAGGUCAGGGAAGCCCACCUUAGGAGACGGGAGACGCAUAUGUAGCCUCACCCCUCCUAGAAUUAGAAGACUUCUUGGGGGUCUCCUGGGGAUGGCAGCACCUGGAUCCCCAGCCCUAGUCUAGUAGCUAAGCCUCUACUUGAAAUGUUGAAUGGAAAGGAUGAUGAUCCUUCUAAAUGGAAACCAGAAUUCAAAGGGGCCUUUUGAGAAUUGAAACAGCAAUUCCUUCAGGCCCCCGUCCUGGCCCUCCCAGACUGAGCUACUUCAACAGAGAUCCAGGAGGCCAGCAACGGCCAGUUAAUGACCACAGGAGAUACUUCUUUCCCCAAUUGCAGCUUGUCAAGUAUAAGGGAGGCUCAUCAAAGAACUCACUCCAGGAGGGAAGCCCUAUAUCAUUGGUUAGCGGGGUCACGGUAACUCCUGGCAUGAAAGGUAUAGUCAGUGGGAUUGUUGAAACAUGCCUGACUCCCUUCUCCACCAAAGCCCCAGAUAAGGACCAUUCAGAUCAGGGGGACAUACCCUGGAGAAGACUGACAUACUGAUCUCAUGCUGAGGGCAGCUGGCAAUUUCAGCUGGAGAGAAAAGACACCUCAGUCCCCUUGGAAUGGAACAACUCAAGUGUGCGCUCCAGUUAGGAGAAACCAGGAAAGCUCUCAUGGAAUAUGGGACCCAGUUGUGCUUGCACUCACUGACCCAGCCCCAGCCUUCCAGCCAGGAGCCUAGGCGCAUCUGAAAACCUGGAAAACCAGCAGCCCGCAAGCCCUGCUCACCCCUAAGUGGAGCAGACGCCACCUGGUGACCUUCACCACCCUCCCCGCUCUGAAGUCGCAGGGGCCACUCCAUGGGGACACUAUACUCUAGCUAAGAGGCCCCCAAGCCCCAGCCUCCAGAGAAACAAGCUGGGGCCACGGGCCCCUUAACCACUCGCGUGAACCAUGCUCUGACCUGGAGCUUCUUUUCCGAAAUACCACCAAAAUGGGCCAGGGACACUCAGGUGCAUCCAGCCCAAAGACCUGGAGUCCUGCCUUUUCAGGAGAAUGUGACAGUGCUGAGUCUAGUGUCGCUGGCUCACAGGCAGCCACGGGCAGAGACCUCGAACCUGGCACUUCAGACCAGGGUUCCUGAUGGGUAGUGGCUGCACUUACACCUGGGCUCAGAGCUGUGUGCAAAGAGCCCUACCCCCUCAUUGCUGACCGGGACCCUAUAAAGCAGCCCUGCCCACAGCCUACAGGAGAGCCUGUGCUCUGGACCAGGACCUCACACCUCUCUGUUCUCUGAUCAGGGAAUAAAGCUUUCCUUUGCUUCCGAAUCUGACUCAGUCUCGUUCUGUUGACUCAAACAACACCAGGCAGGUGGCCCUCCUUGGGGCCAACUCGGAAGGUUCAGUGACACGUGCCUGCUCUUCCCACCUGGCAGCAGAGAGGAAGCACCCUCCCUUCCACUUCUGGGGUAGUGUGAGAUGAAGCCACCUAAAACAGAAAAUUUAAAUAAGUACCAAAAUCUCAUAAUAUAAUACCACAAAGUUCCAGGUUGCAGUAACAAAUUACUCAUUAUAUCAAGAACCAGGUAGAUCUCAAACUGAAUGAAACAAUCAAUAGAGGACAAUAUCAAGAUACCAUCAGUAAUAGAAUUCUCACAGACGUGAAGCGAACAUCAUAAAAAUGCCUCAUUGAUUAUAAGCACUCUGAUAAUGAAUAAAAUAGAGCAGCUCAACAGAGAAAUAGAAGGUGUAAGCAAGAGCCAAAUAGAAAUUAUAAUAACCAAAUUAAAAACUCAAUAGAAGGGCUCUACAGCUGAGUGGAGAACCCAGAUGAAAGAAUCAGUGAACUGAGAGAUAGAAAUUACC